GAUGAACGCUGGCGGCGUGCCUAAUACAUGCAAGUCGAGCGAACGGACGAGAAGCUUGCUUCUCUGAUGUUAGCGGAGGACGGGUGAGUAACACGUGGAUAACCUACCUAUAAGACUGGGAUAACUUCGGGAAACCGGAGCUAAUACCGGAUAAUAUUUUGAACCGCAUGGUUCAAAAGUGAAAGACGGUCUUGCUGUCACUUAUAGAUGGAUCCGCGCUGCAUUAGCUAGUUGGUAAGGUAACGGCUUACCAAGGCAACGAGGCAUAGCCGACCUGAGAGGGUGAUAGGCCACAUUGGAACUGAGACACGGUCCAGACUCCUACGGGAGGCAGCAGUAGGGAAUCUGACGCAAUGGGCGAAAGCCUGACGGAGCAACGCCGCGUGAGUGAUGAAGGUCUUCGGAUCGUAAAACUCUGUUAUUAGGGAAGAACAUAUGUGUAAGUAACUGUGCACAUCUUGACGGUACCUAAUCAGAAAGCCACGGCUAACUACGUG
rnacentral:rRNA from 1 species